AUGGAGGAGGACAUCGACGACAAGUUCUUCUACGACUUCCCCGACAACCCCGCGCUCAUCGAGGCGCAGCAGCCCUUCCUCGAGAUCCUCUCCGAUCCCUCCUCCAACUCCACGUCCGACGACAGCAACAACCGCGCCGUCUCCCCGUGCUCCCCCUCCGACGCCUCCGUCGGCAACGCCGCCCAGCUGCCUCCCACGCCCGCCGCCGUUGACUCCUACGACCGCUUCCAGUUCGAGCCCGUCGACCUCGAUCCCGCCGCCUUCUUCGGUGGCGGCGCCAACUCCGACCUCAUGAGCUCCGCCUUCCUCAAGGGGAUGCAGGAGGCCAACAAGUUCCUGCCCAGUCAGGACAAGCUCGUCAUCGACCUCGAGGCCUCCUCUGGCCAGUUCUUCAAGGGCGUCGAGGAGGGCAACAAGUUCCUGCCCAGGGAGGACAAACUCGUCGCUGGGUUCAAUGGCCACGCAGCUCCUGCGCCGGCGCCGGCUGUGCUCAGCGUAAAGAAGGAGGAGGCGGUGGAUGCGGUCUCGGCCAACUCUGGUGGCGGCCGAGGUCGGAAGAACCCUUACCAUGAUGACGAGCUGGAGCAGGAGGGUGGCAGGAGCAGCAAGCAGAGUGCGCUGGGAGAUGACGUCUCUGCACGGGAGAUGUUCGACAGGAUGCUGAUGCCCUCAGACGAGAUGUGCAUCGUGCAGAUGCAGAACCUGCGGAUCGCCAUGCAGGAGGCGGUGGCCAAGAAUGAUAGCGGCGGCGGGAAAGGGGCCAAUGGCAAGGGGAGGGGCCGGCGUGGUGGUUCCGAUGUGGUGGACCUGCGCACGUUGCUCAUCCAUUGCGCGCAGGCUGUUGCCACAGAUGACCGCCGGAGCGCUACAGAGCUGCUGAAGCAGAUCAAGCUGCAUGCUCGCCCUGAUGGCGACGGGACUCAGCGCCUCGCGCAUUGCUUUGCGGAGGGCCUGCAGGCGCGGAUGGCGGGCACAGGUGGCCUCGUACACCAGUCGCUCAUGGCAACACGCAUCUCAGCUGUGGACAUGCUCAAAGCUUACCAGCUGUACAUGGCAGCCAUCUGUUUCAAGAAGUGGCCGUGCUUUCUGCGACGGAUAUCAACAAGGCCUGGAGGGCCGCCAGAUGUAAGGAUCACUGGUAUUGAUCUCCCUCAGCCUGGGUUCCGGCCAACAGAGCGGAUUGAAGAGACAGGGCGCAGGCUCAAGAAGUAUGCCCAUGAGUUUAAUGUGCCGUUCGAGUACCGGGCCAUCGCGACGGCAAAGAUGGAGUCGCUCCGCAAAGAGGAUUUGAAGAUUGAUCCUGAUGAGGUACUCAUUGUUAACUCCUUGUUUCAAUUCAAGAACUUGAUGGACGAGAGCGUUGUGCUUGAGAGCCCAAGGGAUGUUGUGCUCAAGAACAUCAGGAAGAUGCAGCCCCACACAUUCAUCCAUGCAAUCGUGAAUGGCUCAUUCAGUGCCCCAUUCUUUGUGACACGGUUUCGGGAGGUUCUGUUCUACUACUCGGCCCUUUUUGAUGUUCUGGACACAACCACCCCAAGGGAUAACGAACAGAGGAUGCUGAUUGAGCAGAACAUCCUUGGGCGUGCUGCCCUGAAUGUCAUUGCCUGUGAGGGUACAGAUAGGGUGGAGCGUCCUGAGACGUAUAAGCAAUGGCAGGUAAGGAAUCAACGGGCAGGUUUGAAGCUGCUGCCAUUGAAUCCAGAGGUCAUUGAGCUAGCGAGAGACAAGGUCAAGAACUGCUACCACAAGGACUUUGUGAUUGAUAUAGAUCAGCACUGGCUCUUGCAAGGAUGGAAAGGACGCAUCCUCUAUGCCAUCUCGACAUGGACGGCAAACGAUGCUAGCUCAUAA
rnacentral:rRNA from 1 species